AAAAAAAAAAAAAUAACCUUCCCUCAUCUCUGGGAUAACAGUCGGCAACGGUUACUAAUACUGGAUAUGAGCUUUCAAGGCAUCUUGUGGGUUGGAAAGCUUUGUUUGUUUGUGGAUUGACUCGCAGCCUAUCAGCUUGUUCGUGAGGUAGUGGCUCACCAAGGCUUCGACCGGUAGCCGGCCUGAGUGGGCGACCGGCAACAUUGGGACUGCGAUCCGGCCCAAACUCUUACUGGAGGCAGCAGUGGGGAAUAUUGCAAAAUGGACGGAAGUCUGAUGCAGCAACUCUGUUUUUUUUUUAAUGCUC
rnacentral:rRNA from 1 species